rnacentral:rRNA from 1 species
AUUGAACGCUGGCGGCAGGCCUAACACAUGCAAGUCGAGCGAGCGGCGGACGGGUGAGUAAUGUCUGGGAAACUGCCGGAUGUAGGGGGAUAACUACUGGAAACGGUAGAUAAUACCGCAUACCAUCAGAUGUGCGCAGAUGGGAGUAGCUAUUGGGUGGGGUAACGGCUCACCUAGGCGACGAUCCCUAGCUGGUCUGAGAGGAUGACCAGCCCCCCGGGAACGUAAACAGGGUACAGACUCCCACGGGAGGCAGCGAUGGGGAAUAUUGCACAAUGGGCGCAAGCCGUAUGCAGCCAUGCCGCGUGGGCGAAGAAGGCCUUCGGGUGGUAAAGCACUUUCAGCGGGGUGGCGGUUCCCGCAGAAGAAGCACCGGCUAACUCCGUGCCAGCAGCCGCGGUAAUAC